CACGUAACUGGUAUCCGUGUGCGGCUAUAUCUAUUAUUGUUUUGAUUAGUUUAAAUAUUGCGAGUAUUCGAAAUAUUGAUGCACUGACAGUUCCAAAUUCCAUAAAACCAGUCCAUAAGCUUGAUACGGUAUUUUUCGCUAUUGUCGUUAAUGUGUUUUGUCCAUCAUUCCCAGGAUGUUUACUGUUCCAGGGACGAUUGUUUUUCCUGUUGCUCCUCUGGCCAAUGCGUUCAAGACUGCAGAUUUUCUGCCGGGAACAUGACGUGGUCCCGUAGUGCAUCGAGGUCUUUUGGGUAUAUAUUCCGCUCGUGGCCAACGACGAUGGUGCUGAAUAUCGCCACGUUUGGCGCACGUCCGGGCGGAGUUCCUGUGGUGCGAUUCCUUUGCCAAACGGGUAGUUGCGAGUAGCAUUUUGUUGUAUGUCGUACCUUUACUUGUACCGGAAUGCAUUUGACUAUAUGGACCGCUUCUCCUGCGAUCAAAGCCAUGUGUCCUGGGUUUUGGUUAUGGUGUAUGCAAAUUCGUCGGGCGGUUUUACGUACUUGUUAUCAGUGAAAAUAAAUAUUAUGAAUACUACUUGGAUUGUAAUUAUAUACAUAUAUGCGUACGUAUUGGUGGAUAGCAUCAGUAUUUGGUUUCGUGAGUGGCGUACAAAUACUUUACAGUUCCACUGUGUGGAUUGCUAUUCAUGUUCUUCCAUCCGUCGUUCAGAAAAUGGUUGAUGAGUUCGCCAUCAGUU